rnacentral:rRNA from 1 species
AUUCCAGCUCCAAUAGCGUAUAUUAAAGUUGUUGCAGUUAAAAAGCUCGUAGUUGGAUUUCUGGUCUGAUGCCCUGGCCCGCCUCAAUUUCGAGGUGAGUGCCGGCUGUGCGUCUACCAUCCUUCUAGAAAACGUUCCUACCCUUCACUGGGCCGGGUUCGCGAUCUAGAUCUUUUACUUUGAAAAAAUUAGAGUGUUUAAAGCAGGCUUUUGCUAUGAAUACAUUAGCAUGGAAUAAUAAUCUAGGACUUCGGUUCUAUUUUGUUGGUUUCUAGUACUGAAGUAAUGAUUGAUAGGGAUAGUUGGGGGUGCUAGUAUUGGGCGGCCAGAGGUGAAAUUCUUGGAUUCGCUCAAGACUAACUUAUGCGAAAGCAUUCACCAAGGAUGUCUUCAUUA